GUGCCAAAAGCAGGAGAGCGCACGAAGGCGGGCGGCGGCGCGGAGAGUGGUGGUGGCGCGCGGCAUUGAGAAGCUCAUCCACAGCCGGCGGGGCUCGCGAUUUCCGGUCAAGGACGCCUCCCCCGCCUCGUCCUCCCCUGCCUCCGCACCCGGCGAGGACGGCCCAGCCACGAUGAGCAGUCGAAGAGGAGUGGAAGAUGUGUGUCAUCGGCCAGAGAAGGCGGGGACGAGCGGACGACAGUGAGGGAGGCGUCUUUGGUCGGGGCCACGACGAUGGCGAUGUCGACUCCCAUCGGCCUCCUUCGUCUCCCAGCCAUAGCUGGCUCCAACCCCUCCUCAUGUGGGUAUGAGGCCAGAUUUCGCGACUUGCACCUUUGGCAAGUUAUUGAAAUCAGAACCCCGUCAACUCUGAAGUGGCUGGUAUAUC